UCCCUGGUGGUCCAGUGGUUAAGACAUUGUGCUUCUACUGCAGGGGGCACAGGUUUGAUCCAUGGUCAGGGAG
rfam:Ovis aries breed Texel chromosome 2, whole genome shotgun sequence.